UACGUAGGCAGCGAGCGUUGUUCGGAGUUACUGGGCGUAAAGAGCGCGCAGGCGGUCGUUCAAGUCGCGUGUGAAAGCCCCCGGCUCAACUGGGGAGGGUCACGCGAUACUGAUCGACUCGAAGGCAGGAGAGGGUAGUGGAAUUCCCGGUGUAGUGGUGAAAUGCGUAGAUAUCGGGAGGAACACCAGUGGCGAAGGCGGUUGCCUGGAGCUUUGCUGACGCUGAUGCGCGAAAGCGUGGGGAGCGAUCCGG
rnacentral:rRNA from 1 species